AGGAACAAGCUGAUAUCCAUGCCCAACGUGCUGGUGUGCUUCAUGCCCUCUCUGCCUAUUUGUACGACGACACCUCUAGCUUCAUCAUAACAUGAUGCAUUCUGAUAGACCAGAUAUUAGUGAAGUGCCACUUGGACUCCUGAUCAGAGCCAAUUCCAGCAAUGCAACAUUCUUCUGCCCUGAGAAGACUGCAGUUUUGGUCGAGGGUAACAUGAUCAUUGUUUUCACCACCCUAGCUGAUGGAUUUCUAGUAAUAUUUGGACUGACCUACGCCCUGCACCUAAGCUACCCAAAAUGUUUGGCCAACAUUUUUGACUUUAUUCAGAAAGUUUGGAUGGGUCUGAAGGGUGGGAAGUUGAAGCCCAAAGUGCUGAGUCUUAAAAAUGAUCUUUUGGCAGCAGAAUAAUGUCCAGGAUUCCUACACAGUCCUCAAGUGCCUGUUAAAGCAAGUAAUUCAGCUUAUCAUGUUUCAAAGUCUGGAUAAGUUUUUUUGUUUUGUUUUGUUUUGUUUUUUUAAAGAGAAUAGAAUAAAGAAAUCUUUGCACACUCUGUUUCAUACUUCAUCAUCUUAAAUCCACAUCCAAAGUAAAAGGGGUGAUUUUAUUUUAUUUAUUUUUUAUUUUUUUCCCCCAUCAUCACUUGUUUUAGUUGAUUUUGAUUGUGUUUUUAGUCAGAUAACUGUAAAUCCAUAGAGAAAAUGAAGGACAAUCUCACUACAUUUCUGGCUUCUAGGUGGGAUCUUGAAUGUCACUUAAGGAACGUUCCUCCUGAACUGCUCAUAACUGACAUAAGGCGCUAAGGAGGUUUAUAACACUGUUUUAUGUCUCUAAAGAAGUAUUUUUCUAUUUAAUGUUUUAUUGCUUUGUUGUUGAGACUGUGAUUGCACUCUACAAAUGUGCAUUUUGCAUAACCAGAGUACUGGCAUAUUAAAAAGGUUACCAAUUAUAUUUCAGUGUAUUAUACUGCACUAUACUAUACUAUUACUUUCAUUUGGUUUUCCCACAUAAUAAUGCAGGAUUUUCUUUUCCUUUUGUUUGUUUUUUAAUAAAAAGGUCAUACUCGUGUGUUAAUCAAAUCUGAAUACUCUUAAAACAUGUUGUGAAAUUCUUUAUUUCUAAUAUUGUAACCUUGUGCCAAAACUGGACAUUUCUGACAUUAUUCCCUAUAAAAUGUGGUGGAUUUAUGUCGUUGGACUUUUUGUUAGAAAUGCUAUGUGUUAAAGUAACUCAAAUUUGUAACUUGAAUUUAUAUUUUCUGUCUUAUGUUUUUACAAGUGUAAUUAUUUUGGGCACUUUUUUUAUAUCAAAU
ensembl:lncRNA